UACGGGGGGGGCAAGCGUUGUUCGGAAUUACUGGGCGUAAAGGGCUUGUAGGUGGCCAACUAAGUCAGACGUGAAAUCCCACGGCUUAACCGGGGAACUGCCUGCGAGACCUCAGUACUAGAGUGUGAGAGGGGAUAGUGGAAUACCCAGUGUAGCGGUGAAAUGCGUAGAGAUUGGGUGGAACACCGGUGGCGAAGGCGGCUAUCUGGCUCACAACUGACGAUCAGGCACGAAAGCAUGGGGAGCAAACAGG
rnacentral:rRNA from 1 species